rnacentral:rRNA from 1 species
GAUGAACGCUGGCGGCGUGCCUAAUACAUGCAAGUCGAGCGAACAGACGAGGAGCUUGCUCCUCUGACGUUAGCGGCGGACGGGUGAGUAACACGUGGAUAACCUCCCUAUAAGACUGGGAUAACUUCGGGAAACCGGAGCUAAUACCGGAUAAUAUAUUGAACCGCAUGGUUCAAUAGUGAAAGACGGUUUUGCUGUCACUUAUAGAUGGAUCCGCGCCGCAUUAGCUAGUUGGUAAGGUAACGGCUUACCAAGGCAACGAUGCGUAGCCGACCUGAGAGGGUGAUCGGACACACUAGAACUGAGACACGGUCCAGACUCCUACGGGAGGCAGCAGUAGGGAAUCUUCCGCAAUGGGCGAAAGCCUGACGGAGCAACGCCGCGUGAGUGAUGAAGGUGUUCGGAUCGGAAAACUCUGUUAUUAGGGAAGAACAAAUGUGUAAGUAACUAUGCACGUCAUGACGGUACCUAAUCAGAAAGCCACGGCUAACUACGUG